GGCAGAAUGGUCUAGUGAGGAAGGCACUGGACUAAGACUCAGAAAACUUGGGUUCUGGUUCCAGUUCUGCUU
rnacentral:tRNA from 1 species